rnacentral:lncRNA from 1 species
GUGGAGCUCUGUUUAUGAGCCUAAGAUUGUGCUAAUAUCUAGAAAACAGAAUGGAUUAUCCAGAAAGAUUUGGAUAGCUAUGGAUAUGAUUAUUUUACUGAAUUAUUUCACUAAUAUACAAAUCUAAAGAUUUGAUUUAAUUGAAAAUCCAGUAACCUAACCUUCUUUCGUUAAAAAAAAAAAAAAGGGAAACAAGGCUCAAAAUCUUAAUUAUCUUACCCCUGACCAUAUAACACAUAAGCACUAGAGUACAUAUUCAAACAGGAGCAGCCCACCUCCAGUUUAACCAUCAUAUGUCAUUUUAACCAUCAUAUGACACCAGUUCUCCAACACUGGGAGGAUGUGAGACACCCAAGGGUACUUAGAUUCACAAGUUUAUUCCUGUGGAAACCACUUAGAAACCCAAGAAAUUGGUUAGCCAGGCACAAUGGGGCC